UACGUAGGGUGCAAGCGUUGUCCGGAAUCAUUGGGCGUAAAGAGCUCGUAGGCGGUUUGUCGCGUCGAAUGUGAAAACCCGGGGCUCAACCCCGGGCCUGCAUUCGAUACGGGCAGACUAGAGUUCGGUAGGGGAGUCUGGAAUUCCUGGUGUAGCGGUGAAAUGCGCAGAUAUCAGGAGGAACACCGGUGGCGAAGGCGGGACUCUGGGCCGAUACUGACGCUGAGGAGCGAAAGCGUGGGGAGCAAACAGG
rnacentral:rRNA from 1 species